UACAGAGGUCCCAAGCGUUGUUCGGAUUCAUUGGGCGUAAAGGGUGCGUAGGCGGCGCGGUAAGUCGGGUGUGAAAUCUCGGGGCUUAACUCCGAAACUGCAUUCGAUACUGCCGUGCUUGAGGAUUGCAGAGGAGACUGGAAUUCCCGGUGUAGCGGUGAAAUGUGUAGAGAUCGGGAGGAACACCGGUGGCGAAGGCGGGUCUCUGGGCCGAUACUGACGCUGAGGAGCGAAAGCGUGGGGAGCGAACAGG
rnacentral:rRNA from 1 species